GAGCUGAUGACGACCCGCGUGAGGGAUGAAGGCCUUCGGGUUGUAAACCCCUUUCAGCAGGGAAGAAGCGAAAGUGACGGUACCUGCAGAAGAAGCGCCGGCUAACUACGUGCCAGCAGCCGCGGUAAUACGUAGGGCGCAAGCGUUGUCCGGAAUUAUUGGGCGUAAAGAGCUCGUAGGCGGUUUGUCGCGUCUGCUGUGAAAUCCUGAGGCUCAACCUCGGGCUUGCAGUGGGUACGGGCAGACUAGAGUGCGGUAGGGGUGACUGGAAUUCCUGGUGUAGCGGUGGAAUGCGCAGAUAUCAGGAGGAACACCGAUGGCGAAGGCAGGUCACUGGGCCGCAACUGACGCUGAGGAGCGAAAGCAUGGGGAGCGAACAGGAUUAGAUACCCUGGUAGUCCAUGCCGUAAACGUUGGGCACUAGGUGUGGGGCUCAUUCCACGAGUUCCGUGCCGCAGCAAACGCAUUAAGUGCCCCGCCUGGGGAGUACGGCCGCAAGGCUAAAACUCAA
rnacentral:rRNA from 1 species